rnacentral:lncRNA from 1 species
ACCAACAAACCCUCAUCACUACCCUCAAAAUCGUCCCUCACUCACCACUUCACGCCGCCGUCUACCGCCAACACCACCAUCCAAAACCCAUCACAACCUCCGCCUCCUCUCACGAAACCCAAAUCGCUCACUCCGCUGCCAUCACAAAACCACCGUCAAACCCUUCAACACCUUCAUCAAAACCCCCAAAUCGCCUCUCUACCGCCGCAAAACCCUAAACAUCACACAAAUCACCAAAAAACGCAAAUGAAAAUCUGGAAAAUGACUGAUUUCGGUUUCGGUAAACCAUAGUAUGGGUGUUAACUUGAGAAGAAACCCACUUCUAAGUUCUUUUUUCUGAACUGGGUUUGUGGAAUUUGGAUGUUAUUGUUGACAGGAAAAUGAACGCACAAGCAACGAUGCAGAUGAGUGGCGAGCUAUGGGAAACAUGGAUCACAGCAUAGUAACAACACCCAAGAGCUUGUGUUUUCUCAUCGUCGGUAUCUUCGCUUUUUUAAGCCAGACUUGGAAUUUGGGACUGAAGUAAUUACAGCGACAUCACCAACACGUCCGGAUAACAACAACAAACUCAAACAGCUCCAAGUUUCGAAGAGUCACGUUUCGGUAACAACUUCAAGUUUCUUCCAAUCUAUCGUUGUUGUGUGUUGUUGUGACAAUUUCAUUUUUUUAUUUCAUGAUGAAAUCGUUGGGUUAAAACUAAUAUGUUGAUUACGGUUGUGUUGUUUAUGAUCAUUUCAAUCUUUGUUGUGCGUAUGCUGGGUUGCGGAUCUGAUUUGAAUGUAUGUUUAAGUGUGUGUUUAAAACGUGAUUUUGUUGAAAUUUUGGAUUAGAGUUGUUGUUAUUUUAUUACUGUUGGAUUUCUUGAGUCCAACUUAUUAAAUUUCUGGAAAAUGCACGUUGCUAAUGCCUAUACCGCUUGGGAUUAUUUUGCUACUGCAUAUACUGGUGAAUGCGUCCUGCGUCCUAUAUACAAUCUUAUGUGCUAUCAUUGUGACGCUCAUUUUAAAUCAAUAUAUUAUGGAUAAGCUGCUUGAUCGCUGUGUAAAUAUGGCAAUAGAGUUUUAUAUUAUUAUUCCGUCCCAUGCUUGCCCGAUUUAAUUAAUGGAUUCAACGACUUAUG